CUCUUAAUUCUUCUGGAAAAGUCCCUCGGCGUGUUCUUUUUUGGAAUAAAGAAGCUUUACUUCCCCUCUAGAAUGUCACAUGACACCUAUAAAGAAGGAGGCGGAGGGGCCAUGCAAGUCUCUGCUCAGGAGACACAGGUAGUAGGCACUGCCGUGCACCCGGGCUCUCACCAGGCUCGUCCUGUGCACCCCCUGACGUGACAAAAGGGACACGUGCAGACUACAGACACAUGCCGAACCCAGGGAAGGCGGGCUGGCCGGCCUCGACGUCGCCUGGGUGUAGGUGAGUGCACCAGCUGCUGUGGGUUCCUGCCCACGCCCCUCCCCUACUCGCCUCGGGCAACUCUGGCUUCCACUUUACAUAUCCUCCCGCAAAGCCCUGUAACACCAAAAUCUGAAGAGAUGGGGUGCUGGCACAGUAAGAAACAGGAGGCGGGAAGAGGAGGCAGAGCCCUGCAAAGUCGCUGGGUAACCUUGGAGACGAGAGCCAGGGAGCCAGGCGCAGGGUGGGGCGCCGCAACAGGAGGGAGACAGAAGACCCGCAACAGGAGGAGGCCUCUAAUCAACGCCACAAAGAAGGCUGAUUCACAGCAGUGGGCCCACGGCAAGGACCAGACUCCAGGGAGCCAGUGACGGGGCCAGGGAGAGGGUAGAGGGCUCAGGUCAGUCACUGGACACCACAGGACCCAGGUAGUGCCCCAGGCCCAGGGCCAGCAUGAAGACACCAGGAGGCAGGCAGCUGGGUCAGAAAGAUCACUGAGGUUGGAGGUGAGCUGGGGCCCAGAGUCAGACAAGCCGGGGUCAGGAACUUUGGGAUUGUUCACCUGUGGCCUAGGGUAAAUCACACAACCUUUCUGAACGCCAGUUUCUCCUCUGGAUGAUCAGAACCCUCUUCACCUUCCCUGAGACCCAUUUGAUGAUGAUCAAAUAAAAAUAAAAUCCAGAAAAGGAAGUUUCAUCUUUGAGGAUUCUGUCAGCCAGCUAACCACCACUUUACAAUCUAGAAUAGGGGUCCCCAGCCUCUGAGCUCUGAGGUGGAGCUGACGUAAUCAUAAUAAAAUGCACAAUAAACGUAAUACUCUUGAAUCAUCCUGAAACCAUCCCCCCUUCCGUGGGAAAAUUGUCUUCCAUGAGACCAGUCCCUGGUGCCUAAAAGUUUGGGGACUGCUCAUCUACAGAGUACACAGUCACGUUAAGCUCACCGCUGACUGCUCUGUGCUUACUCCUUAUCUCCCGAAAUCUUCAAAGUGGGGAAUCGGAACCUUUUUUGCAGGUAAGGAAACUGAGGCUCAGAAUAGCUAACUGUCUUGCCCAAAACCUCAC
rnacentral:lncRNA from 1 species